rnacentral:rRNA from 10 species
ACCAAUGGAGACCCUGCCUUAGCUGAAUCUCUGAAGCUAAGCAGGUGUGGGCUUGGUUAGAACUUGGAUCGGAGACCAACUGGGAAAACUGAGUUGCUGCUGGAA